UUUCAGAGAUGACCACGUACAUGGU
rnacentral:piRNA from 1 species